rnacentral:lncRNA from 1 species
GCGGGAUCUUGUGGCAGUAAAAAUCAUUGUGAUUUAUAGGAAAAUGUCACUCUGGAUGUCUCCUCUAUAAAGGCUUUUUACUACUCUUGUUGAAUAUAAAUCAGAAUUAUAUGGCCAACAAAAUGAUGGUUUUGGCAAAAUGUUGUAAAGACAAAAAAAUAAACGAGUUUGAAUUGUCUUGGAUUUAUUCUACAGAGAGAUAUUACUGGAAUUUAUUGCCUUGCCAACAUCAAUAUCCCUGUCCUUAAAAAUAGGUGUGUGUAACUGUAUGUCUAAACUCAUAUCCAAGUUAAUUUAAAGAUGCUCACUGUGAAGCUUACCUUCAAACCGCAGCCACAGCAGAUCUUAACUGAUUGAGAUGAAGCUGACACAGUUUCCAAAUCUUAUUCUGACCAUAGCUGUAGCACUACACUUUAAACUCUUUGGUGUUUGGGACUCUUUGGGUCUCAGCAUAUCUGACUCUUGUUUGACUAACUUCACCUAGAAGCUUAAGUAGGAGAUGAACCAUCCCUCCAAUACUGUGUGUCAGCUUAAUUUAUAAGGAAAAUAUGUGAAUCAAUGAACUGGUCUAAUAUUAGACAUGGAGGUUGGCAGCUCUGCCCGUGGCAGGUGGGUUGGAGCUUGAUGAUCCUUGAUGUCCCUAACAUCAAGCCAUUCUGUGAUUCUACGAUUCUAUGACUUAGUUGAUUGUCACAGUUCAGUGUUUCUCCCUUCAGACUGAAGCUGCUGGGAAGGGUUGGUGGAAUUAUUGAAGAAUUUGGUUUUGAAAAUGGAAAAACAAGACAAGUACAAGUUGCAUUUCUUCCCUGACACAUACAGUGAUGGGUUUUCUCCUUUGCUUCUAUUGUCAGAAGACUUCAGCAGUGCAGAACAUUCAGCCAAAGCAGUCUCAGAUGCAGACUACACCCACGUAUAUCUGAAGCUUUUGGCUUAAAAGAAUUUGGCUUACUAGACACCAGAAGACACCAGGAACUUCCAAUUGACACUGAGGAGGGUAAGAAGACGUGGAGAAGAAAGCAAGGAUUUCUGCAUCAAGGACUAAGAGAGAAAAUAAUGGUCACACUCUUGUUCUUUCCAGGUUUGAAAUGGCUAAUAUUUUUUUUCUUUUUCCUUAAACUUUUGGUGGGUCACAUAAUCACAGUGUUUUGAGCUGUCCUGGCAUUCCGUGCAGGACUGGGUAGCAUACACAUAUGUUCUGCCAUUAAAAAUAGCCCAAUGAGAAAGAAAAUAACCCUUUUGGAAUCUGAACCAAAAGAAAAAU